CCUACGGGUGGCAGCAGUGGGGAAUAUUGGACAAUGGGCGAAAGCCUGAUCCAGCCAUGCCGCGUGUGUGAAGAAGGCCUUCGGGUUGUAAAGCACUUUCAGUGGGGAAGAAAGCCUUGGGGCUAAUACCCUCGAGGAAGGACAUCACCCACAGAAGAAGCACCGGCUAACUCCGUGCCAGCAGCCGCGGUAAUACGGAGGGUGCGAGCGUUAAUCGGAAUUACUGGGCGUAAAGCGCGCGUAGGCGGUCUGAUAAGCCGGUUGUGAAAGCCCCGGGCUCAACCUGGGAACGGCAUCCGGAACUGUCAGGCUAGAGUGCAGGAGAGGAAGGUAGAAUUCCCGGUGUAGCGGUGAAAUGCGUAGAGAUCGGGAGGAAUACCAGUGGCGAAGGCGGCCUUCUGGACUGACACUGACGCUGAGGUGCGAAAGCGUGGGUAGCAAACAGGAUUAGAUACCCGCGUAGUC
rnacentral:rRNA from 1 species